rnacentral:rRNA from 1 species
UACGGAGGGUGCAAGCGUUGUCCGGAAUCACUGGGCGUAAAGGGCGCGUAGGCGGCUCAUGAAGGCUGUGGUGAAAGUCCGGGGCUCAACCUCGGAUCGGCCGUGGCGACUCGUGGGCUGGAGCACUGUAGAGGCGGGUGGAAUUCCCGGUGUAGCAGUGAAAUGCGUAGAGAUCGGGAGGAACACCAGUGGCGAAGGCGGCUACCUGGACCAGCACUGACACUGAAGCACGAAAGCGUGGGGAGCAAACAGG